rnacentral:snoRNA from 1 species
ACGCUCUUGAUUACUUACCCAUCAGACCUAAACACUGGUCUGAAUGGCUAUAAAAAGAGGAAAAGUAAAAGUUAAAUAGACUUAAAUUCUUUCGUGACACAAGCUCUUUCUUUUAAAAAAGG